AGUUCUAUGGCUUAGUAGGUUAAAGCACCCGUCUAACGAAUACGGAGUCGUGGGUUCGAAUCCCACCAGAACGC
rfam:Aedes albopictus isolate Foshan contig6755, whole genome shotgun sequence.